UACGGAGGGUGCAAGCGUUAUCCGGAUUUACUGGGUUUAAAGGGUGCGUAGGCGGUUAUUUAAGUCAAUAGUGAAAUCCUAAUGCUCAACAUUAGAACUGCUACUGAUACUAAAUAACUAGAGUAAUGAUAGGGUAGGUGUAAUUUAUGAUGUAGCGGUGAAAUGCAUAGAUAUCAUAAGGAAGACCAAUAGCGAAGGCAACUUACUAAUCAAUUACUGACGCUCAGGCACGAAAGCGUGGGUAGCAAACAGG
rnacentral:rRNA from 1 species